rnacentral:tmRNA from 2 species
GGGGCUGAUUCUGGAUUCGACGGGAUUUGCGAAACCCAAGGUGCAUGCCGAGGGGCGGUUGGCCUCGUAAAAAGCCGCAAAAAAAUAGUCGCAAACGACGAAAACUACGCUUUAGCAGCUUAAUAACCUGCUUAGAGCCCUCUCUCCCUAGCCUCCGCUCUUAGGACGGGGAUCAAGAGAGGUCAAACCCAAAAGAGAUCGCGUGGAUGCCCUGCCUGGGGUUGAAGCGUUAAAACUAAUCAGGCUAGUCUGGUAGUGGCGUGUCCGUCCGCAGGUGCCAAGCGAAUGUAAAGACUGACUAAGCAUGUAGUACCGAGGAUGUAGGAAUUUCGGACGCGGGUUCAACUCCCGCCAGCUCCACCA